rnacentral:rRNA from 1 species
ACCUGGUUGAUCCUGCCAGUAGUCAUACGCUUGUCUUAAGGAUUAAGCCAUGCAUGUCUAAGUGCGGUGUACUCUAACACGCCAGACUGCGGACGGCUCAUUAUAACAGUUAUAGUUUAUUUGAUGGUUCUUUUACGUGGAUAACCGUGGUAAUUCUAGAGCUAAUACAUGCCCAAAAUCCCUGUCGCUUCGGUGCUGGGGAGCAUUUAUUAGAUGUCGAACCCAAUGGCCUUCGGGUCUAUUUGAGGACUCAUAAUAACUCGAGUAAGAUCGUUCUAUGAACGGCGUAUCAUUCAAGUUUCUGACCUAUCAGUUAGUCGGUAGUGUAUUGGACUACUGAGGCUCUGACGGGUAACGGAGAAUUAGGGUUCGAUUCCGGAGAGGGAGCCUGAGAAACGGCUACCACAUCUAAGGAAGGCAGCAGGCGCGUAACUUACCCAAUCCUGACUCAGGGAGGUAGUGACAAGAAAUCACAAUAUUUCGCCCAAUUGGGCAAAGUAAUUGUAUUGAGAACAGGCUAAACAUGUUAACGAUAAACCAUUGGAGGGCAAGUCUGGUGCCAGCAGCCGCGGUAAUUCCAGCUCCCAUAGCGUAUACUAACGUUGUUGCAGUUAAAAGCUCGUAGUUGGAUUUUUAGCCGCGCGUGCGGGUAGUGGCCUUUAGUGUCACUUAUCUCGCUCGUCGUGGCUAUUUUGGCUCAGCGUGUCGUUGGCAUUAGUUUGUCGACGGCUCCGCCAGGUCGAGUUUACUUUGAGAAAAUUAGAGUGUUCAAAACAGUCAAUUGAUUGUAUAUCAUAGCAUGGAAUAAUAACUGAUGACUUCGUUCACCUUUUGUUGGGUUCAGAUGGCUGAGUUAAUGAUUGAUAGGGUUAGUCGGAGGUAUUAGUAUUCUGUCGUUAGAGGUGAAAUUCAUGGAUCGGCAGAAGACUGACAACUGCGAAAGCAUUUAUCUAGGAUUUGCUCUUUGAUCAAGAACGAAAGUUGGGGGAUCGAAGACGAUCAGAUACCGUCGUAGUCUCAACUAUAAACUAUACCAGCUAGGGAUUGGCAAGCGUUUGACUUGACCUUGUCAGAACCUUAUGAGAAAUCAAAGCAUUUGGGUUCCGGGGGGAGUAUGGUCGCAAGGCUGAAACUUAAA